rnacentral:rRNA from 2 species
UUAAGCGACUAAGCGUACACGGUGGAUGCCCUGGCAGUCAGAGGCGAUGAAGGACGUGCUAAUCUGCGAAAAGCGUCGGUAAGGUGAUAUGAACCGUUAUAACCGGCGAUGUCCGAAUGGGGAAACCCAGUGCAAUUCGUUGCACUAUCGUUAACUGAAUACAUAGGUUAACGAGGCGAACCGGGGGAACUGAAACAUCUAAGUACCCCGAGGAAAAGAAAUCAACCGAGAUUCCCCCAGUAGCGGCGAGCGAACGGGGAGCAGCCCAGAGUCUGAAUCAGCUUGUGUGUUAGUGGAACGGUCUGGAAAGUCCGACGGUACAGGGUGAUAGUCCCGUACACCAAAAUGCACAGGCUGUGAACUCGAAGAGUAGGGCGGGACACGUGGUAUCCUGUCUGAAUAUGGGGGGACCAUCCUCCAAGGCUAAAUACUCCUGACUGACCGAUAGUGAACCAGUACCGUGAGGGAAAGGCGAAAAGAACCCCGGCGAGGGGAGUGAAAAAGAACCUGAAACCGUGUACGUACAAGCAGUGGGAGCACCUUCGGGUGUGACUGCGUACCUUUUGUAUAAUGGGUCAGCGACUUAUAUUCUGUAGCAAGGUUAACCGUAUAGGGGAGCCGCAGGGAAACCGAGUCUUAACUGGGCGUUAAGUUGCAGGGUAUAGACCCGAAACCCGGUGAUCUAGCCAUGGGCAGGUUGAAGGUUGGGUAACACUAACUGGAGGACCGAACCGACUAAUGUUGAAAAAUUAGCGGAUGACUUGUGGCUGGGGGUGAAAGGCCAAUCAAACCGGGAGAUAGCUGGUUCUCCCCGAAAGCUAUUUAGGUAGCGCCUCGUGAACUCAUCUUCGGGGGUAGAGCACUGUUUCGGCUAGGGGGUCAUCCCGACUUACCAACCCGAUGCAAACUACGAAUACCGAAGAAUGUUAUCACGGGAGACACACGGCGGGUGCUAACGUCCGUCGUGAAGAGGGAAACAACCCAGACCGCCAGCUAAGGUCCCAAAGUCAUGGUUAAGUGGGAAACGAUGUGGGAAGGCACAGACAGCCAGGAUGUUGGCUUAGAAGCAGCCAUCAUUUAAAGAAAGCGUAAUAGCUCACUGGUCGAGUCGGCCUGCGCGGAAGAUGUAACGGGGCUAAACCAUGCACCGAAGCUGCGGCAGCGACACUAUGUGUUGUUGGGUAGGGGAGCGUUCUGUAAGCCUGCGAAGGUGUGCUGUGAGGCAUGCUGGAGGUAUCAGAAGUGCGAAUGCUGACAUAAGUAACGAUAAAGCGGGUGAAAAGCCCGCUCGCCGGAAGACCAAGGGUUCCUGUCCAACGUUAAUCGGGGCAGGGUGAGUCGACCCCUAAGGCGAGGCCGAAAGGCGUAGUCGAUGGGAAACAGGUUAAUAUUCCUGUACUUGGUGUUACUGCGAAGGGGGGACGGAGAAGGCUAUGUUAGCCGGGCGACGGUUGUCCCGGUUUAAGCAUGUAGGCUGGUUAUCCAGGCAAAUCCGGAUAAUCAAGGCUGAGGUGUGAUGACGAGGCACUACGGUGCUGAAGUAACAAAUGCCCUGCUUCCAGGAAAAGCCUCUAAGCAUCAGGUAACAUCAAAUCGUACCCCAAACCGACACAGGUGGUCAGGUAGAGAAUACCAAGGCGCUUGAGAGAACUCGGGUGAAGGAACUAGGCAAAAUGGUGCCGUAACUUCGGGAGAAGGCACGCUGGUGUGUAGGUGAAGCCCCUGCGGGUGGAGCUGAGACCAGUCGAAGAUACCAGCUGGCUGCAACUGUUUAUUAAAAACACAGCACUGUGCAAACACGAAAGUGGACGUAUACGGUGUGACGCCUGCCCGGUGCCGGAAGGUUAAUUGAUGGGGUUAUCCGUAAGGAGAAGCUCUUGAUCGAAGCCCCGGUAAACGGCGGCCGUAACUAUAACGGUCCUAAGGUAGCGAAAUUCCUUGUCGGGUAAGUUCCGACCUGCACGAAUGGCGUAAUGAUGGCCAGGCUGUCUCCACCCGAGACUCAGUGAAAUUGAACUCGCUGUGAAGAUGCAGUGUACCCGCGGCAAGACGGAAAGACCCCGUGAACCUUUACUAUAGCUUGACACUGAACAUUGAGCCUUGAUGUGUAGGAUAGGUGGGAGGCUUUGAAGCGUGGACGCCAGUCUGCGUGGAGCCAACCUUGAAAUACCACCCUUUAAUGUUUGAUGUUCUAACGUUGGCCCCUGACCGGGGUUGCGGACAGUGUCUGGUGGGUAGUUUGACUGGGGCGGUCUCCUCCCAAAGCGUAACGGAGGAGCACGAAGGUUAGCUAAUCCUGGUCGGACAUCAGGAGGUUAGUGCAAUGGCAUAAGCUAGCUUGACUGCGAGCGUGACGGCGCGAGCAGGUGCGAAAGCAGGUCAUAGUGAUCCGGUGGUUCUGAAUGGAAGGGCCAUCGCUCAACGGAUAAAAGGUACUCCGGGGAUAACAGGCUGAUACCGCCCAAGAGUUCAUAUCGACGGCGGUGUUUGGCACCUCGAUGUCGGCUCAUCACAUCCUGGGGCUGAAGUAGGUCCCAAGGGUAUGGCUGUUCGCCAUUUAAAGUGGUACGCGAGCUGGGUUUAGAACGUCGUGAGACAGUUCGGUCCCUAUCUGCCGUGGGCGCUGGAGAAUUGAGGGGGGCUGCUCCUAGUACGAGAGGACCGGAGUGGACGCAUCACUGGUGUUCGGGUUGUCAUGCCAAUGGCACUGCCCGGUAGCUAAAUGCGGAAGAGAUAAGUGCUGAAAGCAUCUAAGCACGAAACUUGCCCCGAGAUGAGUUCUCCCUGAGACUUUAAGUCUCCUGAAGGAACGUUAAAGACGAUGACGUUGAUAGGCCGGGUGUGUAAGCGCAGCGAUGCGUUGAGCUAACCGGUACUAAUGAACCGUGAGGCUUAACCUU